CGGCGGACGGGUGAGUAACACGUGGAUAACCUACCUAUAAGACUGGGAUAACUUCGGGAAACCGGAGCUAGUACCGGAUAAUAUUUUGAACCGCAUGGUUCAAAAGUGAAAGACGGUCUUGCUGUCACUUAUAGAUGGAUCCGCGCUGCAUUAGCUAGUUGGUAAGGUAACGGCUUACCAAGGCAACGAUGCAUAGCCGACCUGAGAGGGUGAUCGGCCACACUGGAACUGAGACACGGUCCAG
rnacentral:rRNA from 1 species